GUGGUGUUUGAAUCUUGGGCUAAUGGAGCAGUUGAAAUGCGAGAACAAGCUGCUUUGGGGUUAGGGGAGUUAAUUGCUCUAACAAAUUUGGAGACAUUGAAGGAGUUUGUUAUUCCUGUAACUGGGAAGAAAAGGAAUAGUUUAAGAAGUCAUAUCUUUUAUUGCAAAGGAGAAAGACAGUUUAAGAAAAGGUCACCUUCGAUGCUUGUGGCUUAUUUGCAAAAAGUCAGAUACAUUGACAAAAGUAUCAUGUUUACUUGAGCCUCCUCACUCAGUAAAAACUGGUUUCUCAAAAGCCACAAAGGUUAGAUGGAAUUUAUUCAUUAUUUUCACUAGCAAAAGUUACGAUUGUGAUG